AGAAUCAACGCUGGCGGCGUGCCUAACACAUGCAAGUCGAACGCGAAAGUGGAGCAAUCCAUGAGUAGAGUGGCAAACGGGUGAGUAACGCGUGGGCGACCUACCUCAGAGUGGGGGAUAACAUUCCGAAAGGAGUGCUAAUACCGCAUGACAUCCUGCCUUUAGAUAGGUGGAGAUCAAAGCCGGGGAUCGCAAGACCUGGCGCUUGGAGAGGGGCCCGCGUCCGAUUAGCUAGUUGGUGAGGUAACGGCUCACCAAGGCUCCGAUCGGUAU
rnacentral:rRNA from 1 species